rnacentral:lncRNA from 1 species
GAGAAACUACCCAAAAUUAUAACCAACUUUGCACAUCACCAAGCUAGCAAUGCCAAAUAAAAACAAAGAAAUUAAAAGCUAGUUUAAAUACAACUAACACCGAAUUCAAGAAUCAAAAUCAGACAAUCAAUAUAAAUAAAGGAAGUCUAAGAGCUUCAUAUACCCAAGCGUUUAUCAUAAGAAUCAGAAUCUCAUUCCAAAUUCAACCUGAGUUAAUUACAAAACUUGUGUACUCAUUAUACCAAAUUAAUUUAACUCUAGUUACAACAAGUGCUAUAAUGUAAAAUUGCUAACUAAAAUACAUUGUAGUGACUCUUAACUUUUACUUUGGAAUUGCCUUUGAAAUUGUGAGACUUGCCUGCAUAUUUAGUUCUCUUCAAUAUCUCACACAAAUUAGAGUAGUCAAAUCAGUUAACAUCUUUCUACCAAAAAGAGCUCACCCAAUACAAACAAGCAGUAAAAGUUGUGUUUAUACUCUUAGCAUACACAGACUCUUAGCAGAUCAUGCAAUGCAAACAGUUCGUUAAGAAGUCAGUUGUUUAUUAUUUAGGAUAUAAAAAAGCAUGACUUGAGUGCCUCACACUAUUUGUUUUACUUUUGGUUCAUAUUUGGUGUGUUUUCGAGAAUAUUUAACAGCCCCUGCCCGGCCCUUAAUUUGCGAAUAGAAGGCUGCAAAUGUAAUUUUACAAGUUCUAUAUUUAGGCUGCGGCUGACACUUUAGAAAACAAAAACGAGCAUCUUGGAACUCAAACAAAAAAGCCAAACAAGACGUAUAUCACUUUUUUUUUUUUUGGUGAUUAAAGAAAUUGACAUGAACAGAACCUGCUUCAAUAUGGUCUGAAAUCAUUAUCAGAAAAGGAAAAGGGUCAGAAAGUUGGACAUUUUUUAACGUAACACAAUGGCCAUGAACUUAAAAAAAAUUAAAAAUUAAAAAUUAAGAUCGAAUUUACUUUCAUCUAAUUGAAAACAAGGUAGCCUCAUUUUCUACCAAAAAUAAGGUCCACCCUGAAUUCCCCCAGCUGCCAAACAUUGGCUUCACGAUAAGACCAAAAAAAAAUUAGGAUAGGUGAGUUGUACAGCUGGCAGUAAAAACAAAUUGGCAUGAGAAUAGAUGUCCAGUCAUUUCGGUUGACUAAUCAUACUACUUAAUAUUUAAAUGAAUGCACUGUAUGAUUUUUAUGUUUAAGGAUCUUCAUUCCAUUUGAGCCAUGACAAGGUUAAUUUCAAAUUCUGUAAUCAUCUUGAGUGCAGACUUAACAUAGUCUAAAUUAUUGAGCUUGACUGAUUACAUAAAAGAUUACAAGUUUGUCAAAAAAAAGCUAAAAAUAUUAGCUAAACAAAACCUAACCGAACUAAUAAUAGAAUUCAUUUUCUCUCUGUUUUCUUCAUUACCUCUUCUCUAUUUUAUGAUCUUCAUUUUAUCUCUGUUUUUUUCAUUGUCUCUUCUCUAUUCUCUGAUCUUAACACAAACACAAACACCCACAUUCAAUUCUUCUUUUUGAACAAUUAUAUCAUUUUGUAUUUUUUCUCAAGAUUGUUUUUUGAUUCACUCUUUUCUUGCACCUCAAGACAUUGAAACCAAUCAAUCCUCUUGGUGAAAAUAUUAAGUUCACCAAAAUAAAACUUGGGAUAUGAAUAUGAGUAUGCAAAGAUGAUUGAGCAAGUAUAUAUGUAGGUAGAAUUUCAUAUAAUUCGGGAUGUCUAUAGAGUACACUAGGUUUAGUCCAAUCUUUCUCAAUUUAUUCUACCACAUAACUAAUAAAAUGAUUUUAUAAUAAUAUAUUUAGUUCACUCCAAUAUCUUAUGUAAAUUAAAAUAUAUUUAAAUAAAAUAAGAAAAUAGUGUUAUACCCACCCAUAUAAGCAAAGAUUAAAAUCUCAAUCUUACCAUUACUUAUCAAUUCCAACAAGCAUUAUUUAUUCUAAUAUAUCAUGCAAAUGGUUGGUUAACAGGUGAAAUUUAUUCUUUAAGGGUAUAAAAGCAUGAAGGGAGUCAUCACACUAUUUGUUUCUCCAACUGUUCAUAUUUUGUGCGUUUUCAAGACUAGCCGAGGAAACUUCACUUUGAUUUUUUCAAGAGUUUGAAAAUUUUCAUAUAACUCUAGAUGUGAAUACUCUUUACACAUUUUUUACGUGGGAGACAAUAGAUAAACAAAAUAAAAAAAUUUCCGUUCAUUUUUUUAUAGAAAAAUCUAAGUGAUGAGUUUCGAGGUAUUUUACAUAUGUACACAAAAAAAUUAUAUACAAAUCGAGUUUCAUUCUGUUUUCCCUUUCUUUCAAUUAAAACCCCACACACAAUUGCAAACAGACACUUAAUAUAAUUCAUCAACGCGUUAUAACAGAGUGAACAACUAUAACUACUCCUUAUAUAUAUGCAUCAUGAGCUUCAAAAUUUUCCUCUGUAUUGUCUGAGUUGUCCUCUAUAGACUACGGUAUACUUUUUCUUUGGCUGUCUACCCCAUUUUUGAAACCUAAAUAUUUCUUUAUCUUUUAAGGGAUUUUAGGAAGAAGGGGAUCUCAACUAUUGGAUUGAUCAUUGAUGGGGGGUUGAAGAAGUUGUAAUGCAUUUUGAGCAACUUGCUAGGAGCGUAGAACUAUCAGUCUCUAGUUUACCAUAAAGCCCUUGACUGCUAAUCAGCGACUUCAAGUUGAAGCUAGGCAAACACACACAGAUAUAUAUAUAUAAAUAUAUUAUACAUUUGGGAUCUACUUAAUCAUCUACAUCCAUAAAUCUUCUUUCAGUCAAAGAGGUAGGACCAAACAUGUAAUAAGAGUCAAAAAGGGCAUCAAAUGUACGUAUUAGUGGGCCGAUGAGGAUCAGGUACCAGCACAUUCACUACUCCAAUGAUUUCAACAAGAGAACGUUGUAUUGUAUAUUUUAAGAACAUUAUCCAAAAGCAGAUUCUUAUAUAUAUAUAUAUAUAUAUAGAAAAAUUCUUUUAUUCGGACAUUCCGAUGUUAUUAUCGUGUGGACGCUAUGUAUUUUGUACUACAUUUCCCUACUUUCAUGUCUGUUUACAAUAGAUUAUGCAUGAUAAUAACGUGCGGAUAUAUAUUUCAAAUAUUUUUAAGUAGUUUUUUCUUUCUUCUGUUACUAUAUAUAGCUAGUUAGAGAGUUGCAUGGAUCUAAAAAUGAAAAGCCUAAAUUAAGGGAUAUGAUUUGAUCAAAGAACGAGAGUUGAGAGAUUAUAUAUUGGAUUAAUUUUUCGAGGUAUUAUUCUGAAUUGGGUGGGUCAAAUUUUUCAAAAGCUAGCUCUCAUUAAACCCUAGCUAAAAGUUGGUGGGUGUAGGCAUAGGGAUUAGGAUCGAUGCAUUUUGAAAUCCUUUAACUGAAUGGGGGCCAUGGUUUGCAGUUAAAGUUAUAGAGAGAGGGGGCAUUUCUUUUCUCUCUUCCACUUUACAUGUUGGAGAGGAAAGGAAUAUGAAUACAGCUCCUUUCUAACAUAAAUAUUCAACAAUGGACCACGCAUUUGUCUGAUUCUUCUCAGAAUCUGAUGAAGCGUACGAAAUGCAUCUAUCAUAUUGUAAACGAGUCAUAGUAGUAGCAAACUAGCAAAGUGAACGCGGUGCAUUAAAUCAAGAAAUUGAGCACAACGAUUUUGAGCAGUCACCAAUCACUACUAGAAAACUUCUGUAUCUGCCAUUGGUACACCCGUGACCUAUAUUAAGGUAGGUCACAGAUUUUUCCAUAGUAUGUUGGAUACGAUGAGUUUUACAGAAUAUGCGUAUGUUCCCAUUUAAGUGUGUGUUUUUUUCACGGUUUAAUUUAUAGUUUUAUCUUAAAGAAUUUCGGUGCAAUUUAGGAAACUACAAUGUA